rnacentral:tRNA from 2 species
UUGGGCUAUGGCCAAGCGGUAAGGCAACAGGUUUUGAUCCUGUCAUGCGCUGGUUCGAAUCCAGCUAGCUCAAUCCA